ACAUGAGUUAAUGGCUUAAUGGGAGUGUGUGUACAUUGUAAUUUCUCUGUGUGUUUCCCUGAGAUGAAACAGCAACCUGUACAGGGUGUACUGCGUCUCUAGACUGACAACCGCUGCAGAUGGGCACCAAUUUUUCACCAGGAUCUUGUCCUGAUGAUGGUAGAAUCCAACCACUGUGCAAAGUCUAGACUUGAGACGACUCUCAGAUCAUAGGACUGGCCACCUUGGCUUGUACAGCAGACACUAGGCAUGAUGGGUUCAUCACUUCAUCUGCAACACUUUUUACCCCGAUGUGCUCUUCAUACCGGAAGAAGAAAGAUUUCCACAUAAGCCAAAUGAGGGAGGUGCAGGCACGCUUUKCAAAUCCUCUGUGGACAGAGGAAACAUGGAAGGGGCACAUGAUCGCACAUGGCGCUUGCACACUCCGAACCCCGCAGGCUAAACAGGUGGGGUUUAAGAAAAACCCAUACAGGGUGUAGGAACAUUCACAGGAUUAAAGGGGAAAUUAAACUGGACAAGGACCCCUCUCUGCCCCCCURUCACAGCCCUGUUUCUUAAUCUGUGUUUUUGUGACCAGCACACACAAAGACUGUGAGGAUGCAUGCAAGUGAUCCAAAGUUAAAGUCGGCGGUUUUGGAUGAGUGCGUGCAGUGACAUUGGAGGGACGACAACCAUAAACUACUCCACAUUUUACACCUUCAGCCAUAGGCGUA